UACGAAGGUCCCGAGCGUUGUUCGGAAUCACUGGGCGUAAAGGGAGCGUAGGCGGCGUGGUAAGUCAGAUGUGAAAUCCCGGGGCUCAACCCCGGAACUGCAUCCGAUACUGCCGUGCUAGAGGAUUGGAGAGGUAGCUGGAAUUCUUGGUGUAGCAGUGAAAUGCGUAGAUAUCGAGAGGAACACCAGUGGCGAAGGCGAGUCCCUGGACAACUCCUGACGCUGAGGCACGAAAGCUAGGGGAGCAAACAGG
rnacentral:rRNA from 1 species